UCCUGUCGAGUCGUUCUGUGAAGUUCCUAGCGUUUUUCUUUCAUAUUUGUGAUAUUUCAUCUGUUAGCAUGCCGAAAAGAAUUCAAAGUAGCGGAGGAAAUAUUAUAGUAUCGGUGCGUGAUUUCUGUGAAAGAGAAAAAGAAAAUAAUGCUCCUUUAAUUCCAUUUGGAAAUGUUCGUCAACGAGUUGCCGCCAUGACAGGAAUAUCUGAAAAAACUGUAAGCACUAUAACUAAAGACGGCGAAGAAAACUCUAUUUCACUAUUUCUUGUGAGAAAGUGAAAUAUUGUGAAAAACGUUUGAUAGCUAUGAAUGACAGCAUCAUGACGAACGGUAUUUUGCUGCGGGGUCAUCCUGCUGACAUUUAUAUAGUGUUUGCUAUGCAAAAUAGAGCUGUUCGUGCUAUAGAUAUAUAAGCUUGGUUAUAGACAGUCAGUCAAAAAAAA